GACGAACGCUGGCGGCGUGCUUAACACAUGCAAGUCGAACGGAAAGGCCCCCAUCUUGGUGGGGGUGCUCGAGUGGCGAACGGGUGAGUAACACGUGGGUGAUCUGCCCUGUACUUCGGGAUAAGCUUGGGAAACUGGGUCUAAUACCGGAUAGGACCAUGGUUUAGUGUCUCAUGGUGGAAAGAUUAUUGUUUUGGUGCAGGAUGAGCUCGCGGCCUAUCAGCUUGUUGGUGGGGUAAUGGCCUACCAAGGCGUCGACGGGUAGCCGGCCUGAGAGGGUGGACGGCCCCAUUGGGACUGAGAUACGGCCCAGACUCCUACGGGAGGCAGCAGUGGGGAAUAUUGCACAAUGGGCGCAAGCCUGAUGCAGCGACGCCGCGUGGGGGAUGACGGCCUUCGGGUUGUAAACUCCUUUCGUUAGGGACGAAGCCGCACUUUUUUUGGGUGUGGUGACGGUACCUUUGUUAAGAAGCACCGGCUAACUACGUG
rnacentral:rRNA from 1 species